ACAACAUUUGGACCGUCGGUCUACUGAACAAAUAUCAUCCGCUCGGUGGAAGAUCUUCCUUUGUCGU
rnacentral:pre_miRNA from 1 species